rnacentral:rRNA from 1 species
UUAGACCUCAAAUCAGUCAGGACUACCCGC